AUGUCAGGUGACAGAGAUGGCUGCUGCCUAAAACAAGCAGGUUUUCCAAAGUCUUCUGAGCAACGUAUCACCUUCAUCCAACAAGAGGAAAAGGGAAGCCUCUGGACUACACCAACCCCAUUCCAUUCACCCUCCUCUGCCCCACGGGACGUAGCCCUGAUCUACCCCUGUGUGGGUGUCUUAGGGGGCCUGGAGAGAGGGCUUUGCCUGCGUGAAUUCCAACUAAAAAAAAAAGAAAAAAAAAGCCGAAUCCCAAAAGCCUGCCCCUGAGGCGGGGGGAUGGAUGUGGAAGCCCUGCUGUACCAUUCAUCAAAGAAACCCCAAAUAUAGAAAAUAUUACGCGGGAAUGGAGAUG
rnacentral:lncRNA from 1 species